rnacentral:rRNA from 1 species
GGCUCAGGAUGAACGCUGGCGGCGUGCCUAAUACAUGCAAGUCGAACGAGUUCUGAUUAUUGAAAGGUGCUUGCAUCUUGAUUUAAUUUUGAACGAGUGGCGGACGGGUGAGUAACACGUGGGUAACCUGCCCUUAAGUGGGGGAUAACAUUUGGAAACAGAUGCUAAUACCGCAUAAAUCCAAGAACCGCAUGGUUCUUGGCUGAAAGAUGGCGUAAGCUAUCGCUUUUGGAUGGACCCGUGGCGUAUUAGCUAGUUGGUGAGGUAACGGCUCACCAAGGCAAUGAUACGUAGCCGAACUGAGAGGUUGAUCGGCCACAUUGGGACUGAGACACGGCCCAAACUCCUACGGGAGGCAGCAGUAGGGAAUCUUCCACAAUGGACGCAAGUCCGAUGGAGCAACGCCGCGUGAGUGAAGAAGGCUUUCGGGUCGUAAAACUCUGUUGUUGGAGAAGAAUGGUCGGCAGAGUAACUGUUGUCGGCGUGACGGUAUCCAACCAGAAAGCCACGGCUAACUACGUGCCAGCAGCCGCGGUAAUACGUAGGUGGCAAGCGUUAUCCGGAUUUAUUGGGCGUAAAGCGAGCGCAGGCGGUUUUUUAAGUCUGAUGUGAAAGCCCUCGGCUUAACCGAGGAAGUGCAUUGGAAACUGGGAAACUUGAGUGCAGAAGAGGACAGUGGAACUCCAUGUGUAGCGGUGAAAUGCGUAGAUAUAUGGAAGAACACCAGCGGCGAAGGCGGCUGUCUGGUCUGUAACUGACGCUGAGGCUCGAAAGCAUGGGUAGCGAACAGGAUUAGAUACCCUGGUAGUCCAUGCCGUAAACGAUGAAUGCUAGGUGUUGGAGGGUUUCCGCCCUUCAGUGCCGCAGCUAACGCAUUAAGCAUUCCGCCUGGGGAGUACGACCGCAAGGUUGAAACUCAAAGGAAUUGACGGGGGCCCGCACAAGCGGUGGAGCAUGUGGUUUAAUUCGAAGCAACGCGAAGAACCUUACCAGGUCUUGACAUCUUUUGAUCACCUGAGAGAUCAGGCUUCCCCUUCGGGGGCAAAAUGACAGGUGGUGCAUGGUUGUCGUCAGCUCGUGUCGUGAGAUGUUGGGUUAAGUCCCGCAACGAGCGCAACCCUUAUGACUAGUUGCCAGCAUUUAGUUGGGCACUCUAGUAAGACUGCCGGUGACAAACCGGAGGAAGGUGGGGAUGACGUCAAAUCAUCAUGCCCCUUAUGACCUGGGCUACACACGUGCUACAAUGGAUGGUACAACGAGUUGCGAGACCGCGAGGUCAAGCUAAUCUCUUAAAGCCAUUCUCAGUUCGGACUGUAGGCUGCAACUCGCCUACACGAAGUCGGAAUCGCUAGUAAUCGCGGAUCAGCACGCCGCGGUGAAUACGUUCCCGGGCCUUGUACACACCGCCCGUCACACCAUGAGAGUUUGUAACACCCGAAGCCGGUGGCGUAACCCUUUUAGGGAGCGAGCCGUCUAAGGUGGGACAAAUGA